CGUCGCUCGACCCGCGUGGAAGCUCCGGAAUCGCAUCGGGAGUCGUCGCAUCAGUCUCCGCGUGGCCGUGCCGUCUCUUCGUCGCAGUCGGGAUCGAGGCUCACCGCUGCGAAGCUCAACCGCGACCAAGCUUCGUCCACGGCGUCAUGGCUCAGGUCACCGGACCGUCUCCGUCGUGCUCUGCUCCGUCUGUGCCGUCCUCGCAACCAAACAGGCUUGCCGUCGUCAGCACCCAAAACCGGCGAGAAGAAGGAUCGAGCAACAAUCGAUCUCUCCAAUGGUGUAUUUUGAAGCAUUUGCAGAACAGGUCCCUCAAUUAUUGAAUAAUUACUAAUUGACCCAAAACUUUUGAAAUAACACUUAUGUCCUCAUGAAUCAGCCCCAGACCUCUUAAUUGUGCAACUUAGACCCUCGAAUUUGCAGAAUGAUCCCCUGACUCUUGAUGGUUCUCAAACUGGCCACAAACUCUGUAAUUUGCAAGUAUAACCUUGCGAUUUUGCCCCAAACUUCUCAAGUGUGCAAUCCAACCCCUAAUGCAUACAAAUGAACAAAUAUAUGCAAUGUAGACACCUAAAUGCAAUUCAAAACACAAGUAUGAUUAAUAAAUAGAUGCUAAAAACUAUGAAAAUCAUGAGAUAUCAACUCCCCCAUACUAGUCCUUUACUUGUCCUCAAGUAAACAUUCAAAAUCAAUCAAAGAGGAAGGAAUUGAAAAUUGAAACACAUAACCCAAAGAGUCACUUUCUAACCUUCAACCUAACAUCCUAAGAGAAACAUAGCAAAUAGCAUGAGUAACUCUCUUAGUACACUCUAGUUUCUCAAGGCCUAUCAAAACUCUUAUGCCUCAACACAAGUCAUUUACUCAUCAAUCAACAAGUUCUUUAGCCAGCCCUCACAUUCAUUUAAACACACACACACAAGGUGAAUUCUUGCAAAUAGGCACAUGAUCUCAAUCAUUUGGCUAGGUAAGCAAUGGUCUAAUAUGAAUGAAGAGAUGGGUUCAAAAGUUUUCAUUUAAAAGUGGUUAUCACUCAAAAUAAGGAGCAUGAUCAUUAUGCAAAAUUUAUCUAAGAUUAAAAGCAACUCAUGCAUACAUAGAUUCAUUCUCAUCAUUCUACCCUUUUCCUAAGUGAUUACAAGUUCUACCCUUUUAUCAUCAUCUCAAAACCACAAUAAAACCCACUCACAUCACUCACCCAAUGAACAACUCUCUUUUUCUUUUGACUCAACCAACUAGGGACUUUAAUUCAUUUUCUUUACAACACUUAGCUCUAACUCUUUCUCAUUUCUUUCCCCACCUUCUCUUUGAUUCU
rnacentral:lncRNA from 1 species